UCCCGGUCACCCCCCCUUCGCAUUCGUGAGUCUCACCCCUCAUCUGAAGCCCAAAAAUCAACGUUACCAAACCAAAACCCUAGCUUCCUCCUCAACGGUUCUGCCGCAGUGCCGCCGCCGUCCGUGUUGUCGACGCCGUCCGUGACUUCCUCUCUCCCCCUAUCCCGAACCCAAGCCCUCUCUUGUAGGCUAUAGCUCGGCACGUCGUCCCCAUCCUCCGGCUUCUCUGUUCGAGGCUUGGAGCAGCUCGCCGUCGUGUCGCCGCUCGCCGCUCGCCGUCCGUCUCUCCGUCGAAGUUGCUUAUAGGGAGUGAAAAUGGCAUGUUACCUCAAAGAGGAAUGUUGGCAGCCCCAAGAAUGGCAAGCCUUAGGAGCUUGAUGAGGCUUGUCACCCUUCAUUGGCCCUUUUCAUGGAUGAGAUCAAGAUUGGAUGAAAUCAAUAACAACAAGAGUUCUUUGCCUUCUGAUUCAAUGAUAAUUUGACCACGGUUGAACUGGUUGGACCAGUAAACUAGUGAACUAGUGACUAGAACGGUUUGAUGACUGGUCCGGUUUUCAGAACCUUGCCAGAACGAGAAGAAAGUGGCAGUGAUCGUGUACGAGUGAGUGUGGAGAGUUCAAACGUGAAGGCGCCAUGAGGAUCACUCUCGAUCCAUCAUCGGAUCCAAGUCCUCAACCAAAACGUUCUCCUCUAACUCUUACUCCCACAGAUGAACUCGAAUGGGUCCCACUC